AUUGUCGAUGCCUCACAAGCAGAGUGACCUGUGAAUUCGUUAUUCUACUAGGUGUUGGUCUGGGUGUCUAACACACAAGCCUCACUUACGUUGGGAGGAGGUUCCAUGUGUAUUCGUGAACGCCUCCCGGCUUUAACACAAACCCCGGCGCUGAAUGCGUCAAGGAACUCAAAUUUGUUUAGUGCGUUCCCGUAUACCCGGAGACGGUGCUUAUGCGGAAGCGUUGCGACACAUGAAAACUGAAACAACUCUCGGCAACGGAUAUCUCGGCUCUUGCAUCGAUGAAGAACGUAGCGAAAUGCGAUACUUGGUGUGAAUUGCAGAAUCCCGUGAACCAUCGAGUCUUUGAACGCAAGUUGCGCCUGAAGCCAUUAGGCCGAGGGCACGCCUGCCUGGGUGUCACACAUCGUUACCCUCUCUCCAGUGCCUUUACCUGGGCAUUGAGUCGGGUGAAUGUUGGCUUCCCAUGAGCCGUUUGUCUCGUGGUUAGUUAAAAUCUGAGUCCAUGGUGGAGGGUGCCAUGAUAACUGGUGGUUGAGUAAACCUCGAGACUACUCGUGCGUGYCCCUCUACUAAUGUGGAUUUUGUUGCCAAUGCGUGUCUUGUUACAGACACUCAUAACGAGACCUCAGGUCAGGCGGGAUUACCCGCUGAGUUUAAGC
rnacentral:rRNA from 1 species